UACGUAGGGUGCGAGCGUUUGUCCGGAAUUAUUGGGCGUAAAGAGCUCGUAGGCGGUUUUGUCGCGUCUGCUGUGAAAAACCUAAGGCUCAACCUUGGGCUUGCAGUGGGUACGGGGCAGACUAGAGUGCGGUAGGGGGUGACUGGAAUUCCUGGUGUAGCGGUGGAAUGCGCAGAUAUCAGGAGGAAACACCCGAUGGCGAAGG
rnacentral:rRNA from 1 species